rnacentral:rRNA from 1 species
AGAGUUUGAUUCUGGCUCAGGAUGAACGCUGGCGGCGUGCUUAACACAUGCAAGUCGAACGGAGUUUUAACGGAAGUUUCGGAUGGAAGUUAGAACUUAGUGGCGGACGGGUGAGUAACGCGUGGGUAACCUGCCUCAUACAGGGGGAUAACAGUUAGAAAUGACUGCUAACACCGCAUAAUAUAGCGAAACCGCAUGAUUUUGCUAUCAAAUAUUUAUAGGUAUGAGAUGGGCCCGCGUCUGAUUAGCUAGUUGGUGGGGUAAAGCCUACCAAGGCGACGAUCAGUAGCCGGCUUGAGAGAGUGACCGGCCACAUUGGGACUGAGACACGGCCCAAACUCCUACGGGAGGCAGCAGUGGGGAAUAUUGGACAAUGGGGGAAACCCUGAUCCAGCGAACCGCCGCGUGAGUGAAGAAGUAUUUCGGUAUGUAAAGCUCUAUCAGCAGGGAAGAUAAUGACAGUACCUGACUAAGAAGCCCCGGCUAACUACGUGCCAGCAGCCGC